rnacentral:rRNA from 1 species
UACGAAGGGGGCUAGCGUUGUUCGGAAUUACUGGCGUAAAGCGCACGUAGGCGGAUUUGUAAGUCAGGGGUGAAACUCCCGGGGCUCAACCUCGGAACUGCCUUUGAUACUGCAAGUCUCGAGUCCGAUAUAGGUGAGUGGAAUUCCUAGUGUAGAGGUGAAAUUCGUAGAUAUUAGGAAGAACACCAGUGGCGAAGGCGGCUCACUGGAUCGG